CCACAUGUGUGUGCCUGCUACCCGCCAGCGUGUGGUUGCUGCUUGCACACGCGGAGCACAAACACUGAGUGCUCAUGAGUGCACACAUGAAGCUCCCGAUGAGACGCUCCCACAGAUGCUAAACAAAGCUGCAAGGAAAAGGGAGCUGUGUGUGUGCGUUGCCACUCUAGAAAGGAAAGGAUCCCAAGAGAAAUCUUGAACGAAAAUUUUUCACUGCAAUUUCUCCAGUCAGUUUUCAUUUGCUCCAAGUAGUAUUUUUUGCCUUGGGUUGGCCUGUUGAAAAACAAUGAUCAUUUUUAUUUUCCUUCUGCAUUAAAUAUUUUUUUCCUUUCAAAACAAAACAACAAUUUAAAUCGAAACCCAGAGAAAUCCGUCAUUUUAAAUUGCUGUUUUGACAUAAAAGCAUUUCAUUUAUUUUUCUAACCAAGAAUUGACAUUUUAAUUUGAACCACGACAAAAAUUUUUCAUUUUCUUUCAAAGUAUCAAUUACAAAUGAAAAUAUUUUCAUUUCUUCUCCUCAGAAAGUCCGAAUUUUUCAUGCUUCCAAAAUUGCAGUGAUCAUUUGAUUGUAAGAGCUGAGGUUUAAGAAAAGACAUGAACUAAACAGCAGAACUGGCAUUCAAUUCUGGAAGCUGGUAAAAAAGUGUUUCUGUUUGCAGAGUAGAUGUCUGGAGUGCUGUGGAUUGGCUUGGAACAGUAAGGUCAGGAUCUGAAUGACAAGGAAGAUCCACGACACGUGCCAGACCAGUGAAAGCUGAAAGAAUCAGGCCCUGAUUAUCAAAGCUGAAUGAGAGCCAAGCAAGGAAGAGCCUCAAGAAUCGUUCAAAGAUUAUCAGAUCAAGAUCAUAACAUUGUACCAAAAGAGCCCUCAGUCCCCUCUGUGGGCACACACAUGAUGCACGUAUGGAUUUUAUUUUAUCCUGGGCUGCCACAUGCAUUUUCCAGCCUGGGAGAUGCCUCUCAGGGUGCUCCUGAUCACAUUGUGAGCAUGAGCUUGUGUGGAGGAGGGAAGCGGGGAUUUAUGCAGCAUAUAUGGGAAACCCCCACAGGGCCCCUUUGCAGAACUCUGGCUUCCAGGCCGGCUGCCAAGCAUUAACUACAAUACUUGCGCUUGUUUUUGACAACAGCACGCAGGUUGUAUUUCACCCUUUGCUAUUUUGGUUUUGGAGUUAUGGCAGAAAUGUCUCUGGGUGCUGGCCUGGUAUAAGCGGAGUGGGAGAUUUACUCUUAUUGUGUAAUGUCACCUUUCAGUCGGUGCUUGCAGUGAAAAUUAUGGAGUGUCACUUGUUCUUUUUAUUAAAUUUCAA